GGCCGGUUAGCUCAGUUGGUCGAGCACAGUGCUGAUAACACCAAGGUCACGGGUUCAAUUCCCGUUCGGUCC
rnacentral:tRNA from 1 species